CGCACAUUGCGCCCCUUGGUAUUCCGAGGGGCAUACCUGUUCGAGCGUCAUUACAACCCUCAAGCUUUGCUUGGUAUUGAGCGUUUCGCUCUCCCGUCGCAGGGAGUAGCGUGCUUAAAAGUCAGUGGCGGGUCCUCGUAGACUUCAAGCGCAGUAAAAUCGUCGCUUCAGAAGCUUUCUGCCUAGGGAUUAGCUAUCGAAACCCUAAAACUUCAAUGAUUGACCUCGGAUCAGGUAGGGAUACCCGCUGAACUUAA
rnacentral:misc_RNA from 1 species